AUUGAACGCUGGCGGCAGGCUUAACACAUGCAAGUCGAACGAGUGGCGGACGGGUGAGUAAUGCUUGGGAAUCUAGCUUAUGGAGGGGGAUAACUACGGGAAACUGUAGCUAAUACCGCGUACCAUAGGAUGAGCCCAAGUGGGAUUAGGUAGUUGGUGAGGUAAAGGGUCACCAAGCCGACGAUCUCUAGCUGGUCUGAGAGGAUGACCAGACAAACUGGGGCUGAGUCGCGGCCCAGACUCCUACGGGAGGCAGCAGUGGGGAAUAUUGCGCAAUGGGGGCAACCUGAGGCAGCCAUGCAGCGUGAGUGAUGACGGCCUUCGGGUUGUAAAGAUCUGUUAAUCGGGAGACGGUACCGGAAUAGAAAGCCACGGCUAACUACGUGCCAGCAGCCGCGGUAAUAC
rnacentral:rRNA from 1 species